GCAUCACUUAAGUGUUGCUGGGGAUCUGCUCUGUUUAGACUUGGCUGCCGGUGGCACCAUUUUGGCGUUUAACACAUUUGUAUAUGUGGCACCAUUGGGGCUUUGGCACCAUUUGGACUUAGCUGCCUGUGGAGCUGUUUGGAACUGAGGUAAGGCAUUCAGGAUUUUACCUAGCCCCUUAACCAGGGUUUUGUUCAGAAGUGCACCAUUUGUUUGUAAGUGUGAGUGUUUGACCUUUGUGUGUGGAUCCUGAUUUCAUCCUUUC
rnacentral:lncRNA from 1 species